rnacentral:piRNA from 1 species
AGGAUCAGUUUCCGGAGGUCUACGUC